CCUACGGGAGGCAGCAGUGGGGGAUAUUGCACAAUGGGGGGAACCCUGAUGCAGCGACGCCGCGUGGGUGAAGGAGCGUUUCGGCGCGUAAAGCCCUAUCGGCAGGGAAGAAGGAGGACGGUACCUGACUAAGAAGCCCCGGCUAACUACUGGCCAGCAGCCGCGGUAAUACGUAGGGGGCAAGCGUUAUCCGGAUUUACUGGGUGUAAGGGGGGCGCAGACGGCAGCGCAAGCCAGGAGUGAAAGCCCGGGGCCCAACCCCGGGACUGCUCUUGGAACUGCGCGGCUGGAGUGCAGGAGGGGCAGGCGGAAUUCUCGGUGUAGCAGUGAAAUGCGGAGAUAUCGGGAGGAACACUCGUGGCGAAGGCGGGUUCCUGGACAUUAACUGACGCUGAGGCCCGAAGGCCAGGGGAGCGAAAGGGAUUAGAUACCCCAGUAGUC
rnacentral:rRNA from 1 species